rnacentral:lncRNA from 1 species
GCCACCACCAGUGCAGAGGCAUAAAGAACUCUGAGGGCCUGAGAGCAUGAGAUCGUCAUCCUUCCCAGUGAGCUCUGGGAAGGUCUCCAAAUUAGCAAUGGUGCCUUCAAAAUCAUGGAACUGCCUCACCUACAGGAUAUUUAAGAAAUAAACUUCAAAGGUGAUGCUAACACUCAGAAGGGUCUUCACAGCUAGAGCAAAUGAAAAUGCAAUCUGAAGGGAGUGAAAAACUUGGAAAAUCCCACACUGUUAGUAAAUUAGGUCUUUUAAAAAAGGAACAUCCUAGCAAGCUCCAAUAAAUCAAUGUGACUCUAAGA